CUCUGGAUGGGGGAUGAGGAGGAAGUGGGAAGGGGGUAUAUUCCUUGCCCUCAGCUGAUGUAACAAACUGCCAACCACUGGGUAGCUUGAAAUAACAGAAAUGGAUCCUCUCCUGCAUCUGGAGGACAGACAUCCAAAAUCAAGGUCUCAGGACCCACCCUAAAUCCAGGAUGACCUCAUCUCCGGGCCUUCAAUGACAUCUGCAGCAGCUCUUUUCCUGAAUAAGCUCACCUUCAUAGGUUCCAGGGAUUUGGAACUUGGGCAGGUCUUUUUGAAGGCUGUGGCCACCGUGGGAAUGCGCCGCUCACACCUCUGGUUACAGGAAUGGGGUAGCUGACAUCCCUGGACCCAGCCUCACGCCCACUGAGCCAUGCAUCCUGCUCAGCAUCUCCUGGGGUCAGCAGGUGUAUCCUGAGACCUCUCUUCUCUCUGGGCUAUAGAAGCAGACUUGACCAUGAACUCGAGUCGGCACUCCCUGAUUAUUAGGAAGUCUUCCCACUGCGCUAGCAGCAUCUUUCAUGUCAAUAAACUCUUCUUUCUCUUCACCUGUCUAUGCUGGAAAAUUCUUUUUCCACCUGCGUGCAUGGACCACAACAGAAACCCUGGGAAGCCCUAGAAGCAGCUGGGAACCAGGCUAAGGGUGGUCUUUGUUU